GGACUGAACGCCUGCUUCACAUUGCAGUCGAACGAUGAACCACUUCGGUGGGGAUUAGUGGCGAACGGGUGAGUAACACGUGGGCAAUCUGCCCUUCACUCUGGGACAAGCCCUGGAAACGGGGUCUAAUACCGGAUAACACUCCUGUCCUCCUGGACGGGGGUUAAAAGCUCCGGCGGUGAAGGAUGAGCCCGCGGCCUAUCAGCUUGUUGGUGAGGUAAUGGCUCACCAAGGCGACGACGGGUAGCCGGCCUGAGAGGGCGACCGGCCACACUGGGACUGAGACACGGCCCAGACUCCUACGGGAGGCAGCAGUGGGGAAUAUUGCACAAUGGGCGAAAGCCUGAUGCAGCGACGCCGCGUGAGGGAUGACGGCCUUCGGGUUGUAAACCUCUUUCAGCAGGGAAGAAGCGAAAGUGACGGUACCUGCAGAAGAAGCGCCGGCUAACUACGUGCCAGCAGCCGCGGUAAUACGUAGGGCGCAAGCGUUGUCCGGAAUUAUUGGGCGUAAAGAGCUCGUAGGCGGCUUGUCACGUCGGGUGUGAAAGCCCGGGGCUUAACCCCGGGUCUGCAUUCGAUACGGGCUAGCUAGAGUGUGGUAGGGGAGAUCGGAAUUCCUGGUGUAGCGGUGAAAUGCGCAGAUAUCAGGAGGAACACCGGUGGCGAAGGCGGAUCUCUGGGCCAUUACUGACGCUGAGGAGCGAAAGCGUGGGAAACCAAACAGAAA
rnacentral:rRNA from 1 species